UGAGGAAUAUUGGUCAAUGGGCGAGAGCCUGAACCAGCCAAGUCGCGUGAGGGAAGACGGUCCUAUGGAUUGUAAACCUCUUUUGUCGGGGAGCAAGGCCACUCACGAGUGAGUGGAAGGAGAGUACCCGAAGAAAAUGCAUCGGCUAACUCCGUGCCAGCAGCCGCGGUAAUACGGAGGAUGCGAGCGUUAUCCGGAUUUAUUGGGUUUAAAGGGUGCGUAGGCGGACUGUUAAGUCAGCGGUCAAAUUGUCGGUGCUCAACGCCGGCCCUGCCGUUGAAACUGGCGGUCUUGAGUGAGCGAGAAGUAUGCGGAAUGCGUGGUGUAGCGGUGAAAUGCAUAGAUAUCACGCAGAACUCCGAUUGCGAAGGCAGCAUACCGGCGCUCAACUGACGCUGAGGCACGAAAGCGUGGGGAUCGAACAGGAUUAGAUACC
rnacentral:rRNA from 1 species